UACGGAGGGUGCGAGCGUUGUCCGGAAUCACUGGGCGUAAAGGGCGCGUAGGUGGCGCGGGAAGUCAACGGUGAAAGUUCGGGGCUCAACCCUGAAUCGGCCGUCGAUACUCCCGGGCUCGAGCACUGUAGAGGCAGAUGGAAUUCCGGGUGUAGCGGUGGAAUGCGCAGAUAUCAGGAGGAACACCGGUGGCGAAGGCGGAUCUCUGGGCCAUUACUGACGCUGAGGAGCGAAAGCGUGGGGAGCGAACAGG
rnacentral:rRNA from 1 species